AUAUUCACGUGGCAGGGAAGAAGCCACGAUCACAAAGGCCGCUUUCCCAGGUUGAGGCUCACACAUUGCCUUCCAGAUGUGUUGAUCCCUGGGAUUUCCCCAAGUGUGGGAAACUCAACUGCAGACUUUGUGGUUGUGGGAGACUGUGUUUGAGCUGUCCCCUG